CCUCCUGGGCCGCGCCGAUAGCUUAUCGGGUCCACUCUGGGGGCGCCCAGUGCUACAACCGGAAACGCGGCUGGAGGCCAGUGGAUGCUUGAUGGAGCAGUUCGCGCCGUGGUGCGCGCGCGCCAGGGCUUAGGCUCCAAGUAAAGGCCUUCUUCAUCCAUCCACCCACAACCAGCUCGACCUGGGACUCCUGGCUCAGGCUUGGCGUGGGCUCCAUCCCACCGCGAUGCUAGCAUGCGUAUUGGGGUGCCUUGUCUUGGGGUGGGAGAACCUGUUGUAAGAAAUUGUUUGUGGUAUAGUCGAAAAUGACAGAAAUUUAGUCUGAAGUCUUGAGUUUAGGUCCAGGCUUUCCACUACUGUGCAUUCCUGGGCCGCUUGCUUAACCUCUCUGGACCCAGCCUCCUCAUCUUGCAGAGAGAAGUUCUAUUAUGAACUAAGUGGGUUGUUGGCGUUUGGUAAGAUGUAGAGUUGGAAGAUCUUUAUAAAGUAGAAGAAGCCUUAUUUUUGGUUGUCUAUUGUUAUUAGAACAUUUUGGCACUGUCUGGGGAAAGUCAGCCGGCACCUCAGCUGACUGGGGCGUAUGUUCCCGCAGAAGGAGACCCGGGCGGGGUCAAACAGGUUGAACCAUUGCCCUCUUCUGCUCAGAACAGGUGUCCCCAGCCUCGGGGAAAGACAUUUGGAAGGAAAAGCAGGGGGCGUCAGUGACCCUCCGAGGGCUGCAGAGGCUAGCCAUGUGCUCCUCUGAGGCCUUAAUCCCAGUAUCCCAAACAAGCCGCUCAGGACUGGGUCCCCGGCAGAUCGCCGCCCGAACUCGGCCCCCAGUUCGUUUCUUCCAGCGCUUGGCCUGGGCUCACCGCGCGCCCUCACCCCGGUCCAGCUGCGCCUAGAGUUCACUCGGGGCAGCAGAGGACCCGCGAGUAGGCGCUCAGACAGACAGACGCCGCGGUGCCGGGCGGUCUCCGGCUGCGCCCGGGUCUGCGAAUCAAAGGAGAAGCGUCCUUCUCUCACCCUCUCACCCCGCUCCGCUGGCUAGCCAAGCACGGAACCCGCCAGGCUCUGGCCAACCGGCUCACAUGGCCCGGAGCCCAGAGGCUCGCUGAGGCGGCUUCUCUUUACUUUAAACAGGGGGCCUCAUAAGACCUGUUGAGGGGCCCUGCAACACUGUAUACAGAAUCGCCUAUUUAAAAAAAUACACCCAAAAUACAAUUUUGAGACCAGCAUCCAGGCUCUGAAGACCUGUGACAGCCAUCCAUGGAGUCAUGUUAAGAACCUCCACUCCAACUAACCCAAAGCUCACAGCCCUGGAGGAGAAGAAGCCUGUUUGGGGAAUUCUACCUUGGCUCCAUGUCUCUGAAGAGGCUUGUCCCAGGGAAUAUAAUGGGAUCCUCGCUCACACACAACCCAACAGCCGACCCACAAUGGCACACCUCCCAGUUAUUGCCUUAGUCCGGCAAACCCCUGGCUAAGCAUCCACAGCCGAGCUGAGGGCAGUGAGAAAAGUUCAAGUCGCCAGCUGAAGUGGUCUUUAACACCCCCCCCCCGGCCUUCUCAGCCUCACUGUUUAUCCAUAUGAAGCGCUCUCCUUCCCGGCCCACUUCCACCCCCACCUUUCUGAGAUCGGCUAUAAAAAUAAACUAUUUUUCCUUGUUAAUAAAUCUCCGCCCGGCGCCCUCUUUUAAAGAACUCAAAAAAAAAAAAAAAAAAAAAGAAAGAAAGAAAGAAAAAAAAAAUCACUGCGCCCAGCGCGAGCGAGCAGGGAGAUUAAUCUCGAAGCAGGAUUUAUGUGGCGCGGGGAUCCUCAAACAAUUGGAGUCGUAAAGUGAAAUGAGAUUCGGAGGCGGGUGGGGGAGGGGGAGGGCCUCGGGAACCGCAAACACGUUUGUGUAGCUAAACAAUGUGGAAACUUUUAAAGACCCAUUUCUGCAGACAUCUUGCAGCAACCGCGCUUCUCUGUCAGCCCGCGGGAAAGAGAGAGAGAUAUAUUAACUGAAGACACAAUCUAAAAUUACUUAGGGGUUUUAAACAU
rnacentral:lncRNA from 1 species